GACGAACGCUGGCGGCGUGCCUAAUACAUGCAAGUAGAACGCACAGUUUAUACCGUAGCUUGCUACACCAUAAACUGUGAGUUGCGAACGGGUGAGUAACGCGUAGGUAACCUGCCUGGUAGCGGGGGAUAACUAUUGGAAACGAUAGCUAAUACCGCAUAAUAUUGAUUAUUGCAUGAUAAUUGAUUGAAAGAUGCUAUUGCAUCACUACCAGAUGGACCUGCGUUGUAUUAGCUAGUAGGUGAGGUAACGGCUCACCUAGGCGACGAUACAUAGCCGACCUGAGAGGGUGAUCGGCCACACUGGGACUGAGACACGGCCCAGACUCCUACGGGAGGCAGCAGGAGGGAAUCUUCGGCAAUGGACGAAAGUCUGACCGAGCAACGCCGCGGGAGUGAAGAAGGGUGUCGGAUCGUAAAGCUCUGUUGUAAGAGAAGAACGGGUGUGAGAGUGGAAAGUUCACACUGUGACGGUAUCUGACCAGAAAGGGACGGCUAACUACGUG
rnacentral:rRNA from 1 species